ncrna:unclassified sequences L31-Actinobacteria ribosomal protein leader
GCGGUACCGGUUCCCGGCGGGCGUCAGGCUCGCCGACCCGGCGGCC